GGUAUUUUGACUAUACGAAGGUAUUGAAAUAAGGCUUUAAAUGGGCGCUAAGAGAAUGGUUUAACAAUUAUAAGCUUUCUUUAAUUAAAAAAUUAAAUUUAAUAUUUUUGUGAAGAAGCAAAAAUGAAAAUUAGGGACAAGAAGACCCUAUGAAUUUUUAUUAUUUUAUUAAAUAAUUAAUGUAAUAGAAUAAUUUGAUUGGGGCGAUUAAAAAAGAAUAAUUAUCUUUUUUUAUAAAUUUAAUUUGAUCCGUUAUUAGCGAUUAUUUGAAAAAAAUACUCUAGGGAUAACAGCGUAAUAAUUUUGGAUAGUUCAUAUAGAUAAAAUAGUUUGCGACCUCGAUGUUGGAUUAGGAUUCUUUUUUGGUGAAGAAAUUAAGAUUAA
rnacentral:rRNA from 1 species